GGAGAGAGAGGAUUAAUUAGGGAAGUGCUGAUUCACAAGCAAGUUAUCAUACCUACCAUCAUCAUUAUUUUGCAGCCUGCUACUCUAUUUACAGAACUGCUUGUAUUCUGUUUUUAGCCUUUUCAUCCUGGCAGGAAGGAAUACUGUAUAGUCUUCCUUCUGAAUCACCAGCUUGGUCUACAUGACAAUUUUCUUGUCUCCAGACUUUCAGAAAGGGAAAAGAAAGCAAUUAUCUUCACUCAACUGACAUGAAUUUAAAGGUUCACUGAGCUAGCUGUCCUACUGCUCUGCCUGUCCACACAGCACACUGCUUUCCAAAACAACCAAACUGAAGAUAGAAUGCAAGCAUGUGUCCGGAGACCUACAAAAAAGAUUCUCUCAUAGGAAGAAUGCCAGGGAGUGGAUCUGGACAGAGUAUGGUAUAAGCAUGGCUGAUUCACGGGCUCACAGCCAGAGCCAGGGGAAGAAUGUGGAACUCCAUGCAGAGAAGGCUGUGGCACAAGGUCGGUCAUCCAGGAGCACAUGCACCACCCAGAACUACAGGGACAGAAGGCUUUCGGCUUCUAACCUGAUCUGACGCUUAGAACUGUACUAAUGGUACAGAAAGAGGAGCCAGAGGAGCCUUUCAAAGAUCUCCUGAGUGAACAGAGAAAAAGGUGCCACUGCAGCCUCAGCUCAUCCAGAUUUUACAUUGCAUUUCUGUCCAUUUUGCACCCAUUUAUGAUAAGCGAUUGAAAAGUGGGGAAGAUGCUCAUAAUGAGGUGUAAGAUCUGUCUUCGAGUAUUUUCAUAUUGGAACAGCUUUGUAACUCUUCAGCACAUGGAGUUGGCUCUGAUCUGAUGCUGUUUAUGAGACCUUAUUUGUAAUGUACAGUGCUGUACCUGGAAAGGACCCCAUCCUAUGGCCGGCCUGAGUGCAGAGUAUGCCUCCCACUGCUUACAGCGCACAGCUCGGCCAUCAGGCUCCAGCCAGACCACAACAAGGCAAACAAGAGGAACGGACAACCCAUAUCUAACUUAACAAGUCUGACUUUCUCUAAGCUUGCCAGGCUCUGCUAACACAUCAAGUACAGCGGCAGCCCACAGCACCUGGUGCUACAGAGCGUAGCUGCGAGAACUC
rnacentral:lncRNA from 7 species